rnacentral:piRNA from 1 species
UCUGAGCCUGUGACUAGGAACGGAUGCCUU